UGCAAGUCGAACGGCAGCGCGGACUUCGGUCUGGCGGCGAGUGGCGAACGGGUGAGUAAUACAUCGGAACGUACCCAGAAGUGGGGGAUAACGCAGCGAAAGUUGCGCUAAUACCGCAUACGUUCUACGGAAGAAAGUGGGGGAUCUUCGGACCUCAUGCUUUUGGAGCGGCCGAUGUCUGAUUAGCUAGUUGGUGGGGUAAAGGCCCACCAAGGCGACGAUCAGUAGCUGGUCUGAGAGAACGACCAGCCACACUGGAACUGAGACACGGUCCAGACUCCUACGGGAGGCAGCAGUGGGGAAUUUUGGACAAUGGGCGCAAGCCUGAUCCAGCAAUGCCGCGUGAGUGAAGAAGGCCUUCGGGUUGUAAAGCUCUUUUGUCAGGGAAGAAACGGUUCCGGCUAAUAUCUGGAGCUAAUGACGGUACCUGAAGAAUAAGCACCGGCUAACUACGUGCCAGCAGCCGCGGUAAUACGUAGGGUGCAAGCGUUAAUCGGAAUUACUGGGCGUAAAGCGUGCGCAGGCGGUUUUGUAAGUCUGUCGUGAAAGCCCCGGGCUCAACCUGGGAAUUGCGAUGGAGACUGCAAGGCUUGAAUCUGGCAGAGGGGGGUAGAAUUCCACGUGUAGCAGUGAAAUGCGUAGAGAUGUGGAGGAACACCGAUGGCGAACGCAGCCCCCUGGGU
rnacentral:rRNA from 1 species